UGGGGAAUUUUGGACAAUGGACGCAAGCCUGAUCCAGCAAUGCCGCGUGCAGGAUGAAGGCCUUCGGGUUGUAAACUGCUUUUGUACGGAGCGAAAAGGUCUGCCCUAAUACGGUGGGCUCAUGACGGUACCGUAAGAAUAAGCACCGGCUAACUACGUGCCAGCAGCCGCUGUAAUACGUAGGGUGCGAGCGUUAAUCGGAAUUACUGGGCGUAAAUCGUGCGCAGGCGGUUAUGCAAGACAGAUGUGAAAUCCCCGGGCUCAACCUGGGAACUGCAUUUGUGACUGUAUAGCUAGAGUACGGCAGAGGGGGAUGGAAUUCCGCGUGUAGCAGUGAAAUGCGUAGAUAUGCGGAGGAACACCGGUGGCGAAGGCAGUCCCCUGGGCCUGUACUGACGCUCAUGCACGAAAGCGUGGGGAGCAAACA
rnacentral:rRNA from 1 species